CGUAGGGUGCAAGCGUUAAUCGGAAUUACUGGGCGUAAAGCGUGCGCAGGCGGCUUUGCAAGACAGAUGUGAAAUCCCCGGGCUCAACCUGGGAACUGCAUUUGUGACUGCAUGGCUGGAGUGCGGCAGAGGGGGAUGGAAUUCCGCGUGUAACAGUGAAAUGCGUAGAUAUGCGGAGGAACACCGAUGGCGAAGGCAAUCCCCUGGGCCUGCACUGACGCUCAUGCACGAAAGCCAGGGGAGCGAACGGG
rnacentral:rRNA from 1 species